GGAGGAGCCAGCCGACAGUUGGCGACGGCCGCGGUCCCGAAAACCGUUGGGGCAUCUGCCCGUAGGCGUUCGACCCGCCUCUCCUCCG
rnacentral:tRNA from 1 species